AGAAUCAACGCUGGCGGCGUGCCUAACACAUGCAAGUCGCACGAGAAAGGGGAGCAAUCCCUGAGUAAAGUGGCGCACGGGUGAGUAACACGUGAAUAAUCUACCUCCGAGUGGGAAUAACUGAGAGAAAUCUUAGCUAAUACCGCAUAACACUUACGAGUCAAAGCAGCAAUGCGCUUGGAGAGGAGUUCGCGGCCGAUUAGUUAGUUGGCGGGGUAAUGGCCCACAAGACGAUGAUCGGUA
rnacentral:rRNA from 1 species